GACUCGUCACACUAUCAUUAACUGAAUCCAUAGGUUAAUGAGGCGAACCGGGGGAACUGAAACAUCUAAGUACCCCGAGGAAAAGAAAUCAACCGAGAUUCCCCCAGUAGCGGCGAGCGAACGGGGAGGAGCCCAGAGCCUGAAUCAGCAUGUGUGUUAGUGGAAGCGUCUGGAAAGGCGCGCGAUACAGGGUGACAGCCCCGUACACAAAAGCGCAUGUGCUGUGAGCUCGAUGAGUAGGGCGGGACACGUGGUAUCCUGUCUGAAUAUGGGGGGACCAUCCUCCAAGGCUAAAUACUCCUGACUGACCGAUAGUGAACCAGUACCGUGAGGGAAAGGCGAAAAGAACCCCGGCGAGGGGAGUGAAAAAGAACCUGAAACCGUGUACGUACAAGCAGUGGGAGCCCCACCACUAAGCCAGUGGUGAACUCCACAUACGCAUCCUUUGCUGAGGAUGCGGUUAACGGAGCGAAAGCGACGUUCAACCGCAAAAGAAGCAGAGGGGGCUUAGUGGUGGGGUGACUGCGUACCUUUUGUAUAAUGGGUCAGCGACUUAUAUUCUGUAGCAAGGUUAACCGAAUAGGGGAGCCGGAGGGAAACCGAGUCUUAAUUGGGCGUUAAGUUGCAGGGUAUAGACCCGAAACCCGGUGAUCUAGCCAUGGGCAGGUUGAAGGUUGGGUAACACUAACUGGAGGACCGAACCGACUAAUGUUGAAAAAUUAGCGGAUGACCUGUGGCUGGGGGUGAAAGGCCAAUCAAACCGGGAGAUAGCUGGUUCUCCCCGAAAGCUAUUUAGGUAGCGCCUCGUGAAUUCAUCUCCGGGGGUAGAGCACUGUUUCGGCUAGGGGGCCAUCCCGGCUUACCAACCCGAUGCAAACUGCGAAUACCGGAGAAUGUUAUCACGGGAGACACACGGCGGGUGCUAACGUCCGUCGUGAAGAGGGAAACAACCCAGACCGCCAGCUAAGGUCCCAAAGUCAUGGUUAAGUGGGAAACGAUGUGGGAAGGCCCAGACAGCCAGGAUGUUGGCUUAGAAGCAGCCAUCAUUUAAAGAAAGCGUAAUAGCUCACUGGUCGAGUCGGCCUGCGCGGAAGAUGUAACGGGGCUAAACCAUG
rnacentral:rRNA from 1 species